rnacentral:rRNA from 1 species
UCCCGCGGGUGCGAGCGUUAAUCGGAAUUACUGGGCGUAAAGCGCGCGUAGGCGGCUUCGCAAGUCGAGUGUGAAAUCCCCGGGCUCAACCUGGGAACUGCAUUCGAGACUGCGUUGCUAGAGUAUGGGAGAGGGAGGUGGAAUUUCAGGUGUAGCGGUGAAAUGCGUAGAUAUCUGAAGGAACAUCAGUGGCGAAAGCGACCUCCUGGACCAAUACUGACGCUCAUGUGCGAAAGCGUGGGGAGCAAACAGG